rnacentral:rRNA from 1 species
AACUCUGACCAGUGGAUCACUCGGCUCACGGGUCGAUGAAAAAAUGCUGAAUUUGAGCACUGAUUUUUCGAACUCGCAUCGCCUGUCUGAGGGUCG